AGACGUCUACAUUAGAUACCCGGGUAGUCCUAGCCGUAAACGAUACUCGCUAGGUGUCGGCCACGGUGCGACCGUUGUCGGUGCCGUAGGGAAGCCGUGAAGCGAGCCACCUGGGAAGUACGGCCGCAAGGCUGAAACUUAAAGGAAUUGGCGGGGAGCACCACAAGAGGUGGAGGCUGCGGUUCAAUUGGACUCAACGCCGGAAACUCAUCGGGAGCGACAGCAGUAUGAUUGCCAGGUUGAUGACCUUGCUUGACAAGCUG
rnacentral:rRNA from 1 species